rnacentral:rRNA from 1 species
AGUGAACGCUGGCGGUAGGCCUAACACAUGCAAGUCGAACGGCAGCACAGUAAGAGCUUGCUCUUACGGGUGGCGAGUGGCGGACGGGUGAGGAAUACAUCGGAAUCUACUUUUUCGUGGGGGAUAACGUAGGGAAACUUACGCUAAUACCGCAUACGACCUACGGGUGAAAGCAGGGGAUCUCCGGACCUUGCGCGAUUGUAUGAGCCGAUGUCGGAUUCGCUAGUUGGCGGGGUAAAGGCCCACCAAGGCGACGAUCCGUAGCUGGUCUGAGAGGAUGAUCAGCCACACUGGAACUGAGACACGGUCCAGACUCCUACGGGAGGCAGCAGUGGGGAAUAUUGCACGAUGGGCGCAAGCCUGAUCCAGCCAUACCGCGUGGGUGAAGAAGGCCUUCGGGUUGUAAAGCCCUUUUGUUGGGAAAGAAAAGCAGCAGGUUAAUACCCCGCUGUUCUGACGGUACCCAAAGAAUAAGCACCGGCUAACUUCGUG